AUUGAACGCUGGCGGCAGGCCUAACACAUGCAAGUCGAACGGUAACAGGAAGAAGCUUGCUUCUUUGCUGACGAGUGGCGGACGGGUGAGUAAUGUCUGGGAAACUGCCUGAUGGAGGGGGAUAACUACUGGAAACGGUAGCUAAUACCGCAUAACGUCGCAAGACCAAAGAGGGGGACCUUCGGGCCUCUUGCCAUCGGAUGUGCCCAGAUGGGAUUAGCUUGUUGGUGGGGUAACGGCUCACCAAGGCGACGAUCCCUAGCUGGUCUGAGAGGAUGACCAGCCACACUGGAACUGAGACACGGUCCAGACUCCUACGGGAGGCAGCAGUGGGGAAUAUUGCACAAUGGGCGCAAGCCUGAUGUAGCCAUGCCGCGUGUAUGAAGAAGGCCUUCGGGUUGUAAAGUACUUUCAGCGGGGAGGAAGGGAGUAAAGUUAAUACCUUUGCUCAUUGACGUUACCCGCAGAAGAAGCACCGGCUAACUCCGUG
rnacentral:rRNA from 1 species